UACAGAGGUCUCAAGCGUUGUUCGGAUUCAUUGGGCGUAAAGGGUGCGUAGGCGGCGUGGUAAGUCGGGUGUGAAAUCUCGGAGCUUAACUCCGAAACUGCAUUCGAUACUGCCGUGCUUGAGGACUGGAGAGGAGACUGGAAUUUACGGUGUAGCGGUGAAAUGCGUAGAUAUCGUAAGGAAGACCAGUGGCGAAGGCGGGUCUCUGGACAGUUCCUGACGCUGAGGCACGAAGGUCAGGGGGAGCAAACGGG
rnacentral:rRNA from 1 species